AGAGAGUUUAGUCCCUCCUUAACCCUCCAAAUGGUUUAAUUUGGUCAAAGGGGUAAAAAAAAAUCUUAACAAGGGUCAGAAAGAUUUACUCAAUUUGUUGACGUUUCCUGAUAUCAUGUUUUUCUGUUCAAGAAAACAUUGAGAAAGUUAUCUUUUUUAGAUGAAAGUUUUUUUUAGGGAUACGAAGAAAAGAGUUAUAUUUAAAGAAAUUGUGAAAUAGAUAUCAUGUAUGCAAUGCUUUGUUUAUGGUUUCAGGAUGUAUAGUUUCAGGAUGAAAUUCUCUGAUUUUGUUAUGUAAGUUUACACUUAUAUUAAUAAAUCACUUCCCAAAAUUACAGGAUGUUUCUCUCUGAUUCAUGUAGCCGCGUAUGUGUUUGAAGAUCUCUGAUUUCAUGUAGCUGUGUAUGGUCUCCUUAUUUACCAAUGUUACUUGAGCUUUCUUUGACAAUCAGCCAACUUAUACAGAAAUGACGAAAACCAAGAUUGAGAUUGAUACUGACAGGUUCCUAGCGAGUAUUUAACAUUGAGGCACAAGUUUUUGGAAACAAAUAGAGAAUAUAAAGUCUUUGACCGAGAAGUUUCAUGUUUUGUAAUCAAAUGUUGAUGUUGUUUGAAUAUUAGUUCGGUACGAUAUUUUCUGAGUUGAAAUGUUGGUAGUGCAGAUUUAAUACUUUAUAGUUUUUAUACUAUACCGAUGUAUAUUGGCACUUAUUAUUAUGGUUGAUUAUGCUCAACAUUUUCACUUUGA